rnacentral:rRNA from 1 species
CCUACGGGCGGCAGCAGUAGGGAAUCUUCCACAAUGGGCGAAAGCCUGAUGGAGCAACGCCGCGUGGGUGAAGAAGGUCUUCGGAUCGUAAAACCCUGUUGUUAGAGAAGAAAGUGCGUGAGAGUAACUGUUCACGUUUCGACGGUAUCUAACCAGCAAGCCACGGCUAACUACGUGCCAGCAGCUGCGGUAAUACGUAGGUGGCAAGCGUUAUCCGGAUUUAUUGGGCGUAAAGGGAACGCGGGCGGUCUUUUAAGUCUGAUGUGAAAGGCUUCGGCUUAACCGGAGUAGUGCAUUGGAAACUGGGAGACUUGAGUGCAGAAGAGGAGAGUGGAACUCCAUGUGUAGCGGUGAAAUGCGUAGAUAUAUGGAAGAACACCAGUGGCGAAAGCGGCUCUCUGGUCUGUAACUGACGCUGAGGUUCGAAAGCGUGGGUAGCAAACAGGAUUAGAUACCCCUGUAGUC